GGCCCCUUCAAAAACCAGCUCUGGGUCCGGGCUCCUGGGCAGGCCCUGCUGCCGGCCCCAGGCCAGGCCGGAGCACAGUGGUGGAGUUAGGUGGGUCAGGAGCUGCACACCAUCCAGGCACCGUGAGUCGUUGAUGAGGAUCGACCACCAUUAAUUGCGUGGGUGUCAUAGAUGAGACAGCGCACACAGAGCAGGGGAAGUUGUGGGACGGAGGAGGGUAUUAUCAGGGAGAGACGGUAUCCCAGCCAGGCACCGCUCUUCAGUUCCUAUCCUCAGUCCCGAUGGCUCCAGGACAGCAGACAAAGUUUCUUCGGGACAGUCCUCACUGGAGCACUUUGGGCUUGCUUUCACCUAGGUACUCUCUGAAGCUGGGACAACUGUUGAGCAUGUGAGAUAAUGGUUUCUUGGAGUUUUCCAUAGAUUGGGGCAGCUGCUCCCCACACCGCCUGGUAAACUGCAUCCCAGAGACAGCUGGAAGCCCAAGGAUGGUGCUCCAGUGAAGAGCUCUGUGACACUGGCCAAGAGCUGCAGUGCAGCACUGCGUGUAUUUGACAAGCUGAGUUUGACACUCAGUGUGCAGAGUGUCAGUUUGUCAAAUACCCCAAGUGAGGCAUUUGCUGAGCAACGCGGCGGCACGGUGAGGCCAGCGGCUCCUUCCUCCUGCUCCAGCAGAAGCUUUCCUGUCAGUAUCCUGCUCCUCUCCAGAGACCCAGUGAGGUAUUGAACAACCCAUCCCACCAGUGAUGAAUGCUUGAGUCUGACCUUGUGCUGCCAGGUUUCCCUCCCACCCCUAUUUUGGAAGUGCCUGAGGGGGUGGCACCCUUCCUAAGGGCAAAUCUGUACAGCAGCAGUAGUGUGGGUUCAGCUCCUCUGCAUUGCAGAAGCAGAGAAUGUAGCCCUGGCUUCUUACUCUUAGCAGCCAAAUGCUGUGCUCCUCUCCUUCACAGUGUUAGCCUGCAAGUUGUUAAUUAAUAAUCCUGCUCAGUCAAAUGUGCCAAGUUUGACAAAUCAGACUCUCUGAAUGCACUGAACAGUGAAAACUCAAACUAAUAAAAAACCCCAGGACCCUACUGACUUGCUUUAUGUCAGCAUCCCCAGCAAAUUGUGCAACAUUUAAGAAUAUUGAUAAACUUUAAUGCUGAGCUUUUGGGCUUUUUGUUGCAACUAUUUCUUGUCUAAUAUGAAGAAGUUGGAGUUUCUACAAAGCUGAGGCAAAUGAAUUUAUAUCAUUGUCUAGGCAAAUUGUGUUCUGCUUUUUGAAUAGGUCUGACCAGUAGGGCUUAUAGUGUAUGUCUGGGCAAACAUGGUCCUAUUCCUCAUGACUCACACUCCCGUGGUCUCCCUUAAAGCACCUACUUGUGACUCAGAGAUAGCAGCACUGAUCUCUAUCACUGAGAUCAGAUUCAAAAGAGAACAAACUCUAAUUUAGGAUUUGUUUUGCCCCCCCCAUGGAUCUUUAAUGUAGCAGACAGCUGUGUCAACCCCAACCCUAUCUGCCAUCACAGACCUCAAGGUUUCAACAGACCUAACCUCUCCUGUGCCACAGCUAGCCAAGUGUUCAUUUGUGCUCUUCAUCAUUGUUUUCUUAAGCAUUCCCAGUUUUUAUUUUCAGUAGAAUUUGCCCCUCUGCUUUUUGAAUAACACCCUGCCCCAGGGCCUUGUUCCUUCUAGAUAGCUGGGGGGAAGGGAAAGAAAGAUAACCCCUUCCUCUCUUACAAGAAAAAUUACCAGGUUACCAAUUACCAGUGGGACACAUUUCUCUGAGACUUCCUCCUCCAUGAACAGUAGGUUCAGCAGGGCUCUGAGGCCAGGGUGAACUUGGAGAGUGUAAAAGGUAAUGUACCCCUUCUGUUGAGUGUGUACUUCAGUUGCUCUGAAGCAAGGGGAGCUGCAAGUCUCAUGACUUUGUGCUGGCCACAAAAAGUAGCAUGUUUUUUUUGGAGGCAGUGGAGUUUCAGGGCAGAGGCUGAAGUUUCCCUUCUGUGCUGCAGCAGAUGAAUCAUGUCACCCCAUGGGUGACCAGCACAAGGAAAGGAGAAGUUCUCUUGUUGGAUAGUAAUACAACACAAGAAAGCCCUCUGACUUCCAGAAGAGUGUUCUGCUUCCAACAGUUUUUACUACUAAAUAAACCAAAACCAAAAAAAUAAUCACAUACUUGCUGCAUAAGGAGAAACAACAACCUAUGCACUGGACAGAGGCUAUUUGUAUUUCCACUGUUCUGCUGCUUAUGAUCAAGGCCAUUUUGCUGCCCAAACUAGAGGCAGUGACAACACAAGGUACAUACCAUCU